rnacentral:rRNA from 1 species
UGGGGAAUUUUGGACAAUGGACGCAAGUCUGAUCCAGCCAUGCUGCGUGCGGGAAGAAGGCCUUCGGGUUGUAAACCGCUUUUGUCAGGGAAGAAACGAGUUUCUCUAAUACAGAGUCUUAAUGACGGUACCUGAAGAAUAAGCACCGGCUAACUCCGUGCCAGCAGCCGCGGUCAUACGUAGGGUGCAAUCGUUAAUCGGAAUUACUGGGCGUAACGCGUGCGCAGGCGGUUAUGCAAGAAAGAGGUGAAAUCCCCGGGCUCAACCUGGAAACUGCCUUUGUGACUGCAUAGCUAGAGUACGGAAGAGGGGAAUGGAAUUCCGAGUGUAGCGGUGAAAUGCGUAGAUAUGCGGAGGAACACCGAUGGCGAAGGCAGUCCCCUGAGCCUGCACUGACGCUCAUGAACGAAAGCGUGGGGAGCAAACA